rnacentral:rRNA from 1 species
UGGGGAAUAUUGCACAAUGGGCGAAAGCCUGAUGCAGCAACGCCGCGUGAGUGAUGAAGGUCUUCGGAUUGUAAAGCUCUGUCUUUUGGGACGAUAAUGACGGUACCAAAGGAGGAAGCCACGGCUAACUACGUGCCAGCAGCCGCGGUAAUACGUAGGUGGCGAGCGUUGUCCGGAUUUACUGGGCGUAAAGGGUGCGUAGGCGGAUGUUUAAGUGAGAUGUGAAAUACCCGGGCUUAACCUGGGUGCUGCAUUUCAAACUGGAUAUCUAGAGUGCAGGAGAGGAGAAUGGAAUUCCUAGUGUAGCGGUGAAAUGCGUAGAGAUUAGGAAGAACACCAGUGGCGAAGGCGAUUCUCUGGACUGUAACUGACGCUGAGGCACGAAAGCGUGGGUAGCAAACAGGAUUAGAUACCCUGGUAGUCCACGCCGUAAACGAUGAGUACUAGGUGUAGGAGGUAUCGACCUCUUCUGUGCCGCAGUAAACACAUUAAGUACUCCGCCUGGGAAGUACGAUCGCAAGAUUAAAACUCUAAAGU